rnacentral:rRNA from 1 species
UACGGGGGAGCAAGCGUUGUUCGGAUUACUGGCGUAAAGGGCGCGUAGGCGGCCACUGCAAGUCAGUUGUGAAAUCUCCGGGCUUAACCCGGAAAGGUCAACUGAUACUGCAGGGCUAGAGUGCAGAAGGGGCAACUGGAAUUCUCGGUGUAGCGGUGAAAUGCGUAGAUAUCGAGAGGAACACCUGCGGCGAAGCGGGUUGCUGGCUGACACUGACGCUGAUGUGCGAAGCUAGGGAGCGACGG